rnacentral:lncRNA from 1 species
UAUUUUGUUGUUAUUUAAAAUAAUUUGCAGGAAAAAUGGAGAAAGGUUGGAAAACUCCUGCGGGAGUGCCCACGGGAAGGAUGCUGCCCGUGCGGGCACCGCACGCCCCGCACGCGCACACACGCGCGGCUAACACAAGACAUGUGCAUUGUGCGCAAGUCCCGUCUAUGCGGAGUGCAAGGCUUAGUUUGCAUGUGCGUCCCAUCAUGUGU